GCCCCUGUAGCUCAGUUGGUUAGAGCCGCCGACUCAUAAUCGGUUGGUCGCCGGUUCAAGUCCGGCCGGGGGCACCA
rnacentral:tRNA from 1 species